CUACGGAGGAUCCGAGCGUUAUCCGGAUUUAUUGGGUUUAAAGGGUGCGCAGGCGGCCAUUUAAGUCAGCGGUUAAAUCGUGGGGCUCAACCCCAUUCUGCCGUUGAUACUGGGUGGCUUGAUUGCGGUCGAGGUUGGCGGAAUUCGUUGUGUAGCGGUGAAAUGCAUAGAUAUGACGAAGAACACCGAUUGCGUAGGCAGCUGACAAGACCGCAAAUGACGCUCAUGCACGAAAGUGCGGGGAUCGAACAGGAUUAGAUACCCUGGUAGUCCGCACAGUAAACGAUGAAUACUUGUUUUCGGCGAUAUAAUGUCGGAGGCAAAGCGAAAGCGAUAAGUAUUCCACCUGGGGAGUACGCCGGCAACGGUGAAACUCAAAUGAAUUGACGGGG
rnacentral:rRNA from 1 species